UCUGCUCCUGGCCCUGAGCCUUACAGAGCUGCUUAGCAUACAGCUGGGAGCAGCCAGUGCCUGCCUCUGCGCCUGCUCUUGGGGUGAAAUAAUACCAUCUUGUGAGGCAGGGUGGUUUGGAAGAAAAUGGAAAGAGUAAAGGAAUCCUGGGAUUUGCAGGAACCCCAAGGAGGAUGAGGACACUCAUUUUACAGAUGAGGGAGGGCAUCUUAUUCCUGCUGAAGCCUCUUCCUUUUCUAAUCUCAGAGCUUCCAUGAAAGUGGAUUUCUUGUGCUGUCAUUUUCACCCGGCUGGUAACACACAUCAAGUUCUCAAAAAUGUCAAAUUGGGCUCCUGCCCUAACCAUUAUUGCCACUUCACUAGGCCAUUCUCCAUUUGAAGAAUAGGAAGAGAAGGGAGAAAAUUUUCCCAGAGGAAACACUGCCUCUGUGAUACUAUUUAUUCGGCUUGGCUGUAAAGUGUGGAAAGUAAUGCAUGUUUAAAAGAAAAGAUGCGUAAUUUACAGCUUCUUAAUUCAUAAAGAAUUUGGUGAAUCAUGUUGGCCCUGUUGGAUUCUGGAGAAGUCUGAAAAUUGGCCAGAGUCAGCAAAGGUUUUUAGAAAGCUAUGCAUUUUAAUCUACUUGAAAGUUUUGGACUCAGAACGUCCUUUAACUUUGAAAGUAUACAUAUGAAACACUGGUGUAUGGAAAUUUCCACUCUGUCUCGACCAGCUGAGACUGUCCUGUGAAUGAAAGAAACCUCAGGCAUUGCCUCUAUUCCUAAAGCAUCAUUUUUCGUAAAUAAAUAAAAUGAAGAAGGGCUUUGGAU